rnacentral:rRNA from 1 species
GCACAAGCGGUGGAGCAUGUGGUUAAUUCGACGCAACGCGAAGAACCUUACCAGGGCUUGACAUCCCCUGACCGCGUAUGAAAGUACGUUUUCACCCUCGGGUGACAGGGAGACAGGUGGUGCAUGGUUGUCGUCAGCUCGUGUCGUGAGAUGUUGGGUUAAGUCCCGCAACGAGCGCAACCCCUACGUUUAGUUGCUAACAGGUGAAGCUGAGCACUCUAGACGAACUGCCGUUGACAAAACGGAGGAAGGUGGGAUGACGUCAAAUCAUCAUGCCCCUUAUGUUCUGGGCUACACACGUGCUACAAUGGCCGGUACAGACGGAGGCGAAGCCGCGAGGCGGAGCAAAUCCGAAAAAGCCGGUCUCAGUUCGGAUUGCAGGCUGCAAUUCGCCUGCAUGAAGUCGGAAUCGCUAGUAAUCGCAGGUCAGCAUACUGCGGUGAAUACGUUCCCGGGCCUU